UACGAAGGGGGCUAGCGUUGUUCGGAAUUACUGGGCGUAAAGCGCACGUAGGCGGAUAUUUAAAGUCAGGGGUGAAAUCCCGGGGCUCAACCCCGGAACUGCCUUUGAUACUGGGUAUCUCGAGUCCGAGAGAGGUGAGUGGAAUUCCGAGUGUAGAGGUGAAAUUCGUAGAUAUUCGGAGGAACACCAGUGGCGAAGGCGGCUCACUGGCUCGGUACUGACGCUGAGGUGCGAAAGCGUGGGGAGCAAACAGG
rnacentral:rRNA from 1 species